GCAUGUGGUUUAAUUCGAAGCAACGCGAAGAACCUUACCUGGACUUGACAUCCCUUGCAUAGCCUAGAGAUAGGUGAAGCCCUUCGGGGCAAGGAGACAGGUGGUGCAUGGUUGUCGUCAGCUCGUGUCGUGAGAUGUUAGGUUAAGUCCUGCAACGAGCGCAACCCUUGUUAUUAGUUGCUACCAUUAAGUUGAGCACUCUAAUGAGACUGCCUGGGUAACCAGGAGGAAGGUGGGGAUGACGUCAAAUCAUCAUGCCCCUUAUGUCCAGGGCUACACACGUGCUACAAUGGUAGGUACAAUAAGACGCAAGACCGUGAGGUGGAGCAAAACUUAUAAAACCUAUCUCAGUUCGGAUUGUAGGCUGCAACUCGCCUACAUGAAGCUGGAGUUGCUAGUAAUCGCGAAUCAGAAUGUCGCGGUGAAUACGUUCCCGGGCCUUGUACACACCGCCCGUCACACCAUGAGAGCUGGUAACACCCGAAGUCCGUGAGGUAACCGUAAGGAGCCAGCGG
rnacentral:rRNA from 1 species